rnacentral:rRNA from 1 species
GCGAAUCUUGAGGAGCUUGCUCCUCUUGGUUAGCGGCGGACGGGUGAGUAACACGUGGGCAACCUGCCUGUAAGACUGGGAUAACUUCGGGAAACCGGAGCCAAUACCGGAUAAUCCUUUUCCUCUCAUGAGGAAAAGCUGAAAGUCGGUUUACGCUGACACUUACAGAUGGGCCCGCGGCGCAUUAGCUAGUUGGUGAGGUAACGGCUCACCAAGGCGACGAUGCGUAGCCGACCUGAGAGGGUGAUCGGCCACACUGGGACUGAGACACGGCCCAGACUCCUACGGGAGGCAGCAGUAGGGAAUCUUCCGCAAUGGACGAAAGUCUGACGGAGCAACGCCGCGUGAGCGGUGAAGGCCUUCGGGUCGUAAAGCUCUGUUGUUAGGGAAGAACAAGUAUCGGAGUAACUGCCGGUACCUUGACGGUACCUAACCAGAAAGCCACGGCUAACUACGUGCCAGCAGCCGCGGUAAUACGUAGGUGGCAAGCGUUG